rnacentral:lncRNA from 1 species
UAAACUAAUACUAUUUAGUGAAUUUCCUCCAUGGUUUGGUAGCCCCCAGAUGUAGGUAUUGUUGUACACCAAACUGGGUUAACAACUUUGUGUGUUAUGUUAUUUUAUCUUCUGCUAUAUGUAAGUUAUCUUGUCCUUGAUCAGAUAUCAGUGUCUCAACAUCUCUUAGGACAUCUGAUAUUUGCAUACCAGAAUUUGAAUUGGUAUUAGAGCAGGCAUCCUGCUCUAUUUCUGGGCGAGAUUCAGGGAAGAUACUUUCUGGUGCAAUGGAC